rnacentral:lncRNA from 1 species
GUCCCACCAAAACUGUACGUCUGUCUUGACAGGAUUCAACCUCAAUCUGUUGGCCGCCAUCCAUCCUCCAACCGUCUUUGUGACGCCUAUGUUGGAUAUAGGGUCCAUAAGCAAUGUUGCUAAUGUUAUUAACAUCACUGGUAAGUUGGGGUAGGGAUGAGGGUGUUGAUAUGCUCUGGCAGCCCCAAUGUGCUGCUUGUUUGUCAGAUUUUAGCCUGUUUGUGGAUUGUUUUAUUGAGGUUAGGGUGAAGCAGGAACACCUGGAGGAAUUUUACCCUUAUGCUUUUCAUAGAAUCAGUUAGCCAUAUAACCAUAUAUCCUUAUAAUGAUUUUUAUAUAAUCCAUGUUUGAAUCAUGACGGCUUCUGCAAAAGCUUAUAGCAAAUUGCUUAGAUCGGAAGAAUCCGAAAUGAACUCUGCCCCAGUUCGCUUCCCUUGUUCUUCUUAAUGUCUCGCUAACAUAAGGGGGAAGCAAUAAAUCUGCUGUGCUGGCACUUUCCCCCCUGUCCAGACAGGGUCCUGAGUAGCUCAAACAGGAAGAUGCUAACGCAGAAUGUCCCGGUAUAGCAGAUGGCCGCGUAGGAGCGUAAGGGCCGAAGUUCCUUUUCUUCCUUCUUACCAUAAAUCAGGGGAAAGGUUAAAUGCAUGUUCAGACUGAAAAAGCAGAAGUUGGGAGGGAACUCUUUACAUGAUCAGGGGGCAAGGCUUGAAUGCUCUCAUUGGUUUUCUUUUUGCUGCCGUGUGCAAUUGUAUCGAUUAUGUCAUGUAUGUACUCAGGUAUAAAGCCUCAGGGCGCUGGAGCCCAGGGCCCAGUCUUUGGGAAAGGAUUCCACUGGGUCACUUAUUGCUCAGCAAUAAAUAUCACUUUCUUUUUCUCCACUGCUGCGUCUGUCAAUUCUGGGACACAAUUUGAGUGGCUCACUGGUACCUUAAAAAUCCUGGCAACAAGGGGAAUUAUUUUACUUACUAAGGCAUGGGGAGGGGUGCUGAGAGUGAGUUGUAGAUUGUUGGGUAAUGGGGAGUGUCUUUUGAUGUCACCUGGACUGGUGUUGGGUGGGAAUCUCUGUGGAGGUGUGAGGCUGGGGGGAAUAUUGAUC